AUGAUUUGGCUGGAACAUAGGUGCUGACUUCUACAAACCCGGAAGUGACCUUAAUGGAACGUGCGUGCCACUCGGCGGUCACAUGGUCCAACAAGAGCCUCCUCCAUCCUGUGGAACGCAUCUAUGCAUUCCACCACCGCAUAUAGUCUUAUAGAUAUUUCAUACAAUGAUCUCAUGAUAAAAAAUGACAUAAUUCAAAAUGAAUGUUAAGACCAUGGGGUGCCAAAGUAUCCAGAUUAAAAGUGAAUUUAAUUUCCUCAAUUCCAAUUUUUCUUGUAAAGUCUCCUCCCCUCCAAUUUUUUUUGACUACUUUCAGUGCACAAAAUGUGAGGUCUUUCGGGUUUUGAUUAUGGAAAUAUUUAAAAUGAUGGGAGACACUGUGUGUUUCAACUCCUUUCUUAAUAUUUCUCACAUGUUUGGAUACUCUAGUGUGUAAACAUCUAAUUGUUCUCCCUAUGUAUAGUAGAUUG